rnacentral:tRNA from 1 species
GCUUUGAGAAGCUAAUUAGCAUCGGUCUUGUAAACCGAAGACCAGAACUACUCUUCUCCAAAGCU